UGGGGAAUUUUGGACAAUGGGCGAAAGCCUGAUCCAGCAAUGCCGCGUGUGUGAAGAAGGCCUUCGGGUUGCAAAGCACUUUUGUCCGGAAAGAAAUGGCUCUGGUUAAUACCUGGGGUCGAUGACGGUACCGGAAGAAUAAGGACCGGCUAACUACGUGCCAGCAGCCGCGGUAAUACGUAGGGUCCAAGCGUUAAUCGGAAUUACUGGGCGUAAAGCGUGCGCAGGCGGUUGUGCAAGACCGAUGUGAAAUCCCCGAGCUUAACUUGGGAAUUGCAUUGGUGACUGCACGGCUAGAGUGUGUCAGAGGGGGGUAGAAUUCCACGUGUAGCAGUGAAAUGCGUAGAGAUGUGGAGGAAUACCGAUGGCGAAGGCAGCCCCCUGGGAUAACACUGACGCUCAUGCACGAAAGCGUGGGGAGCAAACAGG
rnacentral:rRNA from 1 species